CUAAGGAAUAUUACGGAGACUACACUGGUUGUUUUAUACUUUGUUCAGUUUUGAGAGGUCUACUCAAUAAUUGAAGAGUCAGCUUAUGACUUUGACAUUAGAGGAUACUCUCAAGAGAAUACUUUGUUCAUUGAAAACUGGAUAUUUGAAGUAAAUUAAGUAAUACAAACCGAGAACACCGCGUUGAAUGAGUUUUUUAAUAAGUUCAAUUGCUUAUUUUCUUGAUCGGACUUCUAUCGCUAGAAGAAAGAUCAAAACCCAACCGCAAGGUUGAUAA
rnacentral:misc_RNA from 1 species